UUUUCUCCCCGUUUUCGGCCUAAGUGAGUUCUCCGCCGUCCCUCAUCGUUUUUGAGCUUCUUCCUUCGAAUCUUCAUGAUUUUCUUAUGAGUUUUCACUUGGUUUUGAAGAUUUCGAGUUUAGAUCGAAGUUGUGAAGCUUGGAGACCUCAGGAACCCAUCCUCCCUAAAUCUCCAAGUUAGGUCACACUCUCUCUCGAUCUUCAAGAGGUAAGAGUCGAUCUUGAGCUCAUUCUAU
rnacentral:lncRNA from 1 species